UACGUAGGGCGCAAGCGUUGUCCGGAAUUAUUGGGCGUAAAGAGCUCGUAGGCGGCUUGUCACGUCGGGUGUGAAAGCCCGGGGCUUAACCCCGGGUCUGCAUUCGAUACGGGCAGGCUAGAGUGUGGUAGGGGAGAUCGGAAUUCCUGGUGUAGCGGUGAAAUGCGCAGAUAUCAGGUGGAACACCGGUGGCGAAGGCGGGUCUCUGGGCUGUAACUGACGCUGAGGAGCGAAAGCGUGGGUAGCGAACAGG
rnacentral:rRNA from 1 species